AUCCAGCUUACGAGAACCAAAUAGGACGAAACGCACGUCCUGGAU
rfam:Schistosoma mattheei strain Denwood, Zambia genome assembly, scaffold: SMTD_scaffold0003406